rnacentral:lncRNA from 1 species
UUUUUUUUUUUUUUUUUUUUAAAUUGGGACAGGGUUUGAUUACCCCUGGCUGGCCUGGAACCCACUCUGUAGACCAGGUAGGACUUGUUCACAGAGACCCGCCUGCUUCUGUCUCCAAGGUGCUGGGAUCAGCUUUCCUUCAUUAUUCCUUACAGACAUCAGUUGAAGCACAGCUUCCCAAGCAUCUUCUGGGGUCUGGGGAAUCAGGUCGGAGGGGCUCCUACCUAAGUGUUACCUGACAGUUGUUAAUAGUGAGUGAGUGGGCUUCGACUGUUAACUGUCUGAGUGUGUCUGCUCAGGGCUUCGACUGUUAACUGUCUGAGUGUGUCUGCUCAGGGCUUCGACUGUUAACUGUCUGAGUGUGCCUGCUCAGGGCUUCGACUGUUAACUGGCUUUCAGUUCAAAACUCUUUGAACCCAGCUUUUUUCCUGUGUGUGUGUGUGUGUGUGUGUGUGUUUUUUUUUUUUCCCAGUUUUGUUUUGUUUUUAAAUCCCAUUUGUGGUCUUUCGAGGGAUUCAUGAAAAUUUUAAGAUGGAUUUUUCUUUCUUCCAAAAGCACUUGAGAUUCUGAUAGACACUGUCUUAUGUUUUUGACUCUGUGGUAAUACUGACUGCUUAAGUCUUGUGAUCCCUGGACACAGGGUAUCUAGAUGUUUGUGUCUUAAAUUUCUUUUAGCAACCUUGUCUGUCUGUCAGUUAAAAUUAAUGUGUAUAUAGUCUGAUUUUUUUUUUCUUUUUAUCAUUUUCUUUCUUAUUCUUUGCAUCUCUUCCUUCCUUCAUUCUUUAGAUUCAAGUGUUUUCAUUUGGUGUCAUUUCCCUUUUUGAGGAAUUUUAGGGCUUCACGGCUGUUCCUGAGAGUUAAAGAGCUGUGUCAGAGGAAGUGCCCAUCUCUGUUCACAGGGCAGGAAGUGACUGUCGGAUAAAGGGACUUGAAUGUGAAGUCUGUUCUUAGAAAAAUAUUUGAUAACUUUAGAGACAGUCAAAGUCAGUUUGGUCAUCCAUUAUGAAACUCAGGUUCGCAAGCAUCUUCUGCAUUUCUGGGAACCCAAAUCAGAGGCAAUUGUAGGUGCAAAAGUUUAUUCUCCUGUUAAACUUAGUAGACCUAAAAACAAUGUCUUUACUUCCUGUUGAUCUUACAAUUUAUGGGAUGAAAUAAACUGCAGCCACUAAAACAAAAAUGAAUGUACAUAGAGACACAUGGAAUAAGCAAUUUCUAAAGAGCAUGUCUUAAACAAUUUUCAUGUGUGUACAAAGGUACUUCGUGGUUAUUGCACCAAGUCAAUGGCAGUAGUUUUAUCUCCAGGAGGCAGUAUUUUGAUUGGUUCCUUAAAAAAAUAUUUAUGUAUGUGUUUAUAAUGCCCGUGUAUAUAUUUUAUCUGUUUGUAAUUGAGUUGUCUUUUUGUUAAGUAAGAUCUGCUGUGUGUGCUUGUCCUGUGCAGUGCAGGGUGAAGCAUUAGCACAGACACUCCUAGGGGGCUUUCAUGCUCACCAGGAGCAAACGAUGCUUUCUGCACACUUAAUAAUGCUUUCAGGGGCCGAGGUAGGCGGUUGGUUCACUCAGUUACUGCACAAGCGUGAGGUCUCCAGCGCCCGUGUGAAAGCCAGGUGCAGAGGUGCACUUCUGUAGCUGCAGCACAGGGGGGCAGAGACAGGAGGAUCAUGGGAGCACACGAGCCAGCCAACCUCACUGCACCCCAGGGAGGGUCAAAGAAGACACCUGCCAUUGACCUCUGGUCUCCACAUACGCACACACAUACUCAUAAUGCUUUUAGUGACCAGAAUGACUUAAUUGUAGUACAAUUUAUCACAUAUAUCUUAACAGUAAACAGUGUUUUCUAUUUAAGAAAACGUGCCCAUCCCAUGUUCAUAAGAAUGUGUUAAGGAUAAAUAUUAGUAGGUUUAUUACUUAUCAUUUAUAUUUAGAUCUCUAGUGUACACUAGAUGGUGUGGAAGGGCUAGGAGAAGGCUUGAGAUAUGUUAAAAAUAACAAGUUAUAUGGUGUUUUAACUAAAAAGACCAUUCUCUUCUUCCUGCACUGAAGGGUCACCAGUGUUUAAUCAGGUGACCUUACACUGGCAGGGUGUACUCGGACAAUAUGUAAGUAGUGAUUGUGAUGUGUUUGAUGUUUCUAGUUUUGGCAUAUGUCACUGAUGGAGGUUUUUGUUGUCUUUUCCAAUGCCUUUUAGUAGAAUCAAAGCAAGAUAAACAGUUUGCAAGCUUUGAAUUAUUUUAAUCCAUGAGCAGUGUUUUAUUAUUGGUGUUUUCAUGUUGCUUCUUUGCCAGCAGGAAGGCAGGAUUUCUUCGUGUUUUAUAAAAAGAAGAAACUUUACCCAAGAGAGGGUCUAGUAACUUGCCAGAGUCAAGCUUGUAACGUAAGAGCGUUGGGUUGAGCCUUCUGUGCUGCCGUUCCUCAUGAGCCGUUUUUGUUGCCAUUUCUAAAGAAACACUCUUCUCCCUGGCUUCGUUGAAUGAGUUAAAGUUUUAUUUUUAAAGGGUAGUCUUGAAGAGUAAUUGUACAUUUUAGCUUGUCUCUAGAAGAUACUGCAAAUGUAAAUAAAGAAAAUAUCC